rnacentral:lncRNA from 10 species
UCACAAUUUAAAAGUCCAGAAUCUCCAGCAGUUCUCUUGUUCAUUGUUCCCUGUGGACCCAUGAUUCACCCUCUUGUUUGAAGUUGAAACUCAGUUGAUUUUCUCAAACAUACAAGCUUUGAAGUUUCUGUACUCUCUAUUCCCCUUUAUUUGUGCAUGCAAACCAGCUAAUUCUUUCUGAUCUCACCUCACUCUUGUACUGUCUUGCCAAUCAAAGCCAGCAGCAAUCAACAAGCACUACUAUCACUCCUAUUAACACUACUAACAUUUUGUUUUCCAGGCUCUUUUCUACUAACAUUUUUGUUUCACAAUUUUUUCUUCUAGAGUUACAAGUUCUCUAAUUUUAUGUGUUGUGUUCAUUGCAGGUGACAGUUAUACCAAAUUUUUGCCACUGCAAAAUCCUGCCAAAAAACCACUUAGCCAAUGUCACGUUUCAGGGAUUUGUUAAAAUACUCCACUUUCAGUAUCAAUUUCUGAAUUAAUCAGAAUAGGCUAAGCUAUGCUAUGGUAACAAACAGUCCUAUAAUCUCAGUGGUUUAACACAACAAAAGCAUGUUUCUGACUCAUACAAGUUACACUGUGGAUUGAGGCAACUCUCCUGAGUGUCUGCCCUCUAGAUGGUGACUAGGUAAUAAAGUUACUUCAAAUUUAAAGCUCCAGCAUCUCAACACAGGGCCUCCUCCACCGCUGCAACUAGGAAAGAGAGAUGCUAAGAGAGUUUCACAUUAUCAAUUAAAUGUUGCAACCUGGAAACUAAAUACAUCAUUUCUGUUAACAGACCUUUGGCCAGAACCAGUUAUAUGACUCUGACUAAUUACAAAAGGGCUAGGAAUUAUAGCUUUCCAGCACCCGUUAAAUGGAGGAGAACCAGAUACUUGUUGAACUCCAGUAUUUAUACCUCACAUACUACUGGAUGUAGUAUAGCUUGUAGUUAAAGAGUACACCUGGAGUCACAAACUAAAUUUUAGCCCUAGCUCUUCCAUUUGCUACGUGACAAAUGGUUUAAACCCUGAGCCAUGGUUUAAAGUGUGAGUAAUAAUAUGCUUGCACAAUGCUUAACACAGUUCCUGGCACACAAGAAACAUUUAAUUAAUUAUUUGAAACGAUGUGUGGUACAGAAAAACAUUGUGACUCGCUAAGCUGUGAUCAUGACCAGUGAGAAAGCUACUUCAGACAAUCUUAUAGACAUCAUGGCAGCACCACUUGUAACAUAUACAUUAUGACAGUUCUCAAUCAUUUACUAAGUCUUUAACAGACUGGAAAAAUAUUGACACUGUUAUAGUCUCCAUGGUAAAUUAAAGUGAAGACUGUGAUGAUAGCAAUGUGUUGUCAGGAAGAAAAUUACUGUGACAGAGGCUAUUUUAUUUGCUAAAAUGUCAUAAAUUUUGUGGAACAAUGACCAUUUUCU